rnacentral:snoRNA from 1 species
AUGAUGGCCUUUCCUCGACCGCUGUCUCCGCUGCUUUUUGCGCCACAUAGACGAUCACCGCGCGUGUGCGCACGCGUGCGUGUGCGUUGGUCGAACAAAACGCAUCAGAGAGUG